rnacentral:rRNA from 1 species
CAGAGGGUGCGAACGUUGCUCGGAAUUACUGGGCGUAAAGCGCGUGUAGGCGGGAUGAUAAGUCGGAAGUGAAACUCCCCGGGCUCAACCCGGGAACUGCUUUCGAAACUGUCGUCCUCGAGUACCGGAGAGGGUGGCGGAAUUCCUGGUGUAGAGGUGAAAUUCGUAGAUAUCAGGAGGAACACCGGUGGCGAAGGCGGCCACCUGGACGGUCACUGACGCUGAGACGCGAAAGCGUGGGGAGCAAACAGGAUUAGAUACCCUGGUAGUCCACGCCGUAAACGAUGGGUGCUGGGUGUCGCGGGUAUUGACCCCCGCGGUGCCGUAGCCAACGCGUUAAGCACCCCGCCUGGGAAGUACGGCCGCAAGGCUA